rnacentral:rRNA from 1 species
AUGCUUUCCUCUCAGGUUCAUGCGUUGCACUUUGACCCGAAAUCCAUCCUCCUCCUUUCUACCUUCGCGUUCUUGUGCGAGGCCUUUGUGAGCAUCGCCCCCUCGGUGGCAUUGCUUCGCCACUUCUUCUCCCUGCGGCUAACCGCCAACGCACAGUGCUCCGGGUGCAUGUCGCUCUGCGCUAUGAGCGCGACGGCGAGCGAAGACAUUGACAUAGAUAUCCACCCCGAGGCGAAGGGCUUUCGGAGGCAAUGUGUGUACGUCGACAUGGCCCAGUUCAGCCCCUUACUUCAAACUCCGUCAUCUCCGGCGGAAGCAAGCUCCGGGUGGAGACACGAGAGGCUCGUCGACCCAAGGCUAUCGCGGGUCAUGGCGAAGAUGGCUGACCUGAGGGUGACAGGCGUGACAGUGACGAUGAUGGUGAGGGAUUUCAUCCAUCGUCGAAUGGCCCUCCUCCAGCGCCAUUCUUGCCCUAUGUGGGCGUUCACCGGCCCCAAGGAUGCAAUGAGGCUUCAGAUGGCCUGCCUGCCCCCCGAUGUGCUGAGUGGGAUACUCCUCAUCUUGAAUGGCAGGGAAGCAAGCGUGCUUCCCCAAAAAGGGCUCCCUCUGUACAAUUACACGAGCAAAGGGGACUUUUUCGAGAGGAUGUCGCGCUUUGAUCAGUGA